rnacentral:rRNA from 1 species
GAUGAACGCUGGCGGCGUGCCUAAUACAUGCAAGUCGAGCGAACGGACGAGAAGCUUGCUUCUCUGAUGUUAGCGGCGGACGGGUGAGUAACACGUGGAUAACCUACCUAUAAGACUGGGAUAACUUCGGGAAACCGGAGCUAAUACCGGAUAAUAUUUUGAACCGCAUGGUUCAAAAGUGAAAGACGGUCUUGCUGUCACUUAUAGAUGGAUCCGCGCUGCAUUAGCUAGUUGGUAAGGUAACGGCUUACCAAGGCAACGAUGCAUAGCCGACCUGAGAGGGUGAUCGGCCACACUGGAACUGAGACACGGUCCAGACUCCUACGGGAGGCAGCAGUAGGGAAUCUUCCGCAAUGGGCGAAAGCCUGACGGAGCGACGCCGCGUGAGUGAUGAAGGUCUACGGGUCGUAAAACUCUGUUAUUAGGGAAGAACAUAUGUGUAAGUAACUGUACACAUCUUGACGGUACCUAAUCAGAAAGCCACGGCUAACUACGU